GACGAACGCUGGCGGCGUGCUUAACACACGCAAGUCGAACGGAAAGGCCCUGCUUUUGUGGGGUGCUCGAGUGGCGAACGGGUGAGUAACACGUGAGUAACCUGCCCUUGACUUUGGGAUAACUUCAGGAAACUGGGGCUAAUACCGGAUAGGAGCUCCUGCUGCAUGGUGGGGGUUGGAAAGUUUCGGCGGUUGGGGAUGGACUCGCGGCUUAUCAGCUUGUUGGUGGGGUAGUGGCUUACCAAGGCUUUGACGGGUAGCCGGCCUGAGAGGGGGACCGGCCACAUUGGGACUGGGAUACGGCCCAGACUCCUACGGGAGGCAGCAGUGGGGAAUAUUGCACAAUGGGCGGAAGCCUGAUGCAGCAACGCCGCGUGCGGGAUGACGGCCUUCGGGUUGUAAACCGCUUUCGCCUGUGACGAAGCGUGAGUGACGGUAAUGGGUAAAGAAGCACCGGCUAACUACGUGCCAGCAGCCGCCGUAA
rnacentral:rRNA from 1 species